UUGAACGCUGGCGGCAUGCUUUACACAUGCAAGUCGAACGGUAACAGGCCUUCGGGUGCUGACGAGUGGCGAACGGGUGAGUAAUGCAUCGGAACGUGCCCAGAGGUGGGGGAUAACGCAGCGAAAGCUGUGCUAAUACCGCAUGUGAUCUGAGGAUGAAAGCGGGGGACCAAGCAGCAAUGUUUGGCCUCGCGCCUCUGGAGCGGCCGAUGUCAGAUUAGGUAGUUGGUGGGGUAAAGGCCUACCAAGCCGACGAUCUGUAGCUGGUCUGAGAGGACGACCAGCCACACUGGGACUGAGACACGGCCCAGACUCCUACGGGAGGCAGCAGUGGGGAAUUUUGGACAAUGGGCGCGAGCCUGAUCCAGCAAUGCCGCGUGCGGGAAGAAGGCCUUCGGGUUGUAAACCGCUUUUGUACGGAACGAAAAGGCUCUGGCUAAUACCUGGGGCUGAUGACGGUACCGUAAGAAUAAGCACCGGCUAACUACGUG
rnacentral:rRNA from 1 species